AGCCACUGCUAUCGGACUCCGACUAAGCCAUGCGAGUUUAGGGGCUCUUCGGAGCACCGGCAGACGGCUCAGUAACACGUGGACAACCUACCCUCAGGUGGGGGAUAACCUCGGGAAACUGAGGCUAAUACCCCAUAGGUCUUGGAUACUGGAAGGUUCCGAGGCUGAAAGCUCCGGCGCCUGAGGAUGGGUCUGCGGCCUAUCAGGUAGUUGGUGGUGUAAAGGACCACUAAGCCUGCGACGGGUACGGGCCCUGAGAUGGGGAGCCCGGAGAUGGACUCUGAGACACGAGUCCAGGCCCUACGGGGCGCAGCAGGCGCGAAACCUUCGCAAUGUGCGAAAGCGCGACGAGGGGAGUCCGAGCGCCCUUCCUUCGGGGAGGGCUUUUCCCAAGCCUAAAAAGCUUGGGGAAUAAGGGCUGGGCAAGACGGGUGCCAGCCGCCGCGGUAAUACCCGCAGCUCGAGUGGUGGCCACUAUUAUUGAGCCUAAAGCGUCCGUAGCCGGACCCGUAAAUCCCUGGGUAAAUCUCGGCGCUCAACGUCGAGAAUUUCGGGGAGACUGCGGGUCUUGGGACCGGGAGAGGCUGGAGGUACUCCCGGGGUAGCGGUGAAAUGCUGUAAUCCCGGGGGGACCACCUGUGGCGAAAGCGUCCAGCUUG
rnacentral:rRNA from 1 species